GUGAACGCUGGCGGUAGGCCUAACACAUGCAAGUCGAACGGCAGCACAGUAAGAGCUUGCUCUUACGGGUGGCGAGUGGCGGACGGGGGAGGAAUACAUCGGAAUCUACUUUUUCGUGGGGGGUAACGUAGGGAAACUUACGCUAAUACCGCAUACGACCUACGGGUGAAAGCAGGGGAUCUUCGGACCUUGCGCGGAUGAAUGAGCCGAUGUCGGAUUAGCUAGUUGGCGGGGUAAAGGCCCACCAAGGCGACGAUCCGUAGCUGGUCUGAGAGGAUGAUCAGCCACACUGGAACUGAGACACGGUCCAGACUCCUACGGGAGGCAGCAGUGGGGAAUAUUGGACAAUGGGCGCAAGCCUGAUCCAGCCAUACCGCGUGGGUGAAGAAGGCCUUCGGGUUGUAAAGCCCUUUUGUUGGGAAAGAAAAGCAGCAGGUUAAUACCCCGCUGUUCUGACGGUACCCAAAGAAUAAGCACCGGCUAACUUCGUG
rnacentral:rRNA from 1 species